rnacentral:rRNA from 1 species
UACGUAGGGUGCAAGCGUUGUCCGGAAUUAUUGGGCGUAAAGAGCUCGUAGGCGGUUUGUUGCGUCGGCUGUGAAAUCCCGAGGCUCAACCUCGGGUCUGCAGUCGAUACGAGCAAACUAGAGUGUUGCAGGGGAGACUGGAAUUCCUGGUGUAGCGGUGAAAUGCGCAGAUAUCGAGAGGAACACCUGCGGCGAAGGCGGGUUGCUGGGCUGAUACUGACGCUGAUGCGCGAAAGCCAGGGGAGCGAACGGG